rnacentral:rRNA from 1 species
AUGGUAGCAACAACUUGGAGCCGCCGGUCGUUGACGAUGACUAACAUAUUGCUCAUUCUACGAUACCCAAAAGUGCAGACGUUGACUACCCGAGCGGUGCACGGCAAGAUGAUGAGCACGAGGGCCAAGUCGGACGACGUCUACUUUGACACUGUCCGGCUAGUUUCACAGUUCGGCGGCCCAUAUGCUAGUAACCGGUUCCGGCACAGUAGGAGGUCACGGCUGGGUGCAGCAAGCUUCCCCUGCUAUGUGACGACGACGGCGACGACGGCGACGUCACGGGUGGAUGUGCAGGGGAACUGCACGAAGACGUCCCUUUUCUGUGACAUCCUUCGUGCCAAUGAACACGGCGUGCUCGCCGUCGUCCCCAACUGGAACUACGACUCCACCGAAGAGACCGUCCCCAACUGGAACUACGACUCCACCGAAGAGUUCUGCAGUGGACUAGGACCGUUCGUCGUGAACACGACGAACAUGGCAUUCACGGAUUUUGCCAUCCUGAUGCAAGCCCUCCGGUGCGGGACGACGAGCGGACUGGACGGCAAGGCGGUCGUGCUGGUGACGGCCUUGUUCCGUGUCGUGCCGCCGUGGGAGGAUCGGGAAAUGGCGGUGAAGCAUGCUGGGCUGAGCGACAUGACGCUGUCGGCCGAGGGCGUGCCAUACAUUUCCAUGUACGUUCCCACCACCCGCCGCGACAUCCUGAUGGGGCAGAUAACCUCCAUGGACGGCAGCCACUUCCCGUUGUCAUGCCGACGAGGAUUGCAUCCCCGAGAGGGCUGCAACAAGGUUGGCCGCCCCGACGAGUGGUUGCGCAUGACGUACAACUACAAGAAGGUCGGGCAGGCCAUGGAGCUUCUCCGACGGACCAAGACGUCCAGAAUCUCCAGCAAACUAGUUUCCAUGUCUCCGAUAAGCUAUCCGAGGAAACGCGCCGGCCAUGAUGACACGGCGAGCCUCUCUGAAGAUCUGCACCUCCGUUUCCGGGCCGGGCCAGAAUGGAUCAUGAAGGGAGGACAAUCCUCUGAGCGCUUCUUUGAAUUGCAAAUAAUCUCGAUUGGUCCGCUCGUAGGCUACGUGCCCCAGCCAAGCAUGUCGGUAGCACAAGAUCAAGAUGGUAUGGGCGACCAUGGCGUGGAGCGGCAGGAACUUCUAAACGUGUCCGCUGCGUUCACGGUGUCCGAAAGUUUCUUUGGGCCGCGCUCGGUGAUGUCGCUGGAGGGCGUGUACAACCCGGAGGACGGGCGGAUGCACCUGGUCGGCUGCCAAGGCGUCGAGGCCCCAUGGCAGAUCAUGUCAAAGAUGAGAGGCCUUCGAAACAGCUCCAUCGAGUUGGAGGUGCAGUACCCGCCGACGAGGAUGCGGUGGCUCUUCAGCCCGUCAGCGAAGGUCCACCUGUCCAGCACAAGGGCCACCGGCGACCCGCUGUACUUCAACAGGACCGAGCUCCUAGAGCACCCCUCCUAUUAUGCCCGGGAGAUGUCGAACAGAUUCAUGGAGCAGAAGGGGGUCGUCUGCCUCGCCAUGCUAUCGGCCACCAUCGCUGCCGCCUUACGCCAGCUGAGCUACAUGGAGUCCCACCCGGACACCGUGCCGUACAUCUCCCUCGCCAUGCUCGGCGCCCAGGCGCUCUGCUACGGCGCGGCGCUGGUCACCGACGCCAGUAUCCUACUUGCGUGGCGAAGGACGUCCGACGGCGACGGCAACUACAGGAUGCAGGUCCGGGGCCUGCACUGGGACAUGGACUGCUCCGUGAAAGCCCUCGCCCUCGCGGCGCUCCUCCUCACGCUGCGCCUGGCGCACAAGGUGCGGCGGUCCAGGGUCCGCGUGCCGCUCGAGCCAGGCGCGGCCUCCUAUUCACCUCACGUCGACCAAGCCGCCGCCGCAUGUGGCGUACACCCAGCAAGCACAGGGCCAGGGAGAGUCCUAUACCCAUAG